rnacentral:rRNA from 1 species
UACGUAGGGGGCAAGCGUUAUCCGGAUUUACUGGGUGUAAAGGGAGCGUAGACGGUUAUGUAAGUCUGGAGUGAAAGCCCGGGGCCCAACCCCGGGACUGCUUUGGAAACUGUGUAACUGGAGUACAGGAGGGGCAGGCGGAAUUCCUGGUGUAGCGGUGAAAUGCGUAGAUAUCAGGAGGAACACCAGUGGCGAAGGCGGCUUACUGGACGGCAACUGACGCUGAGGCUCGAAAGCGUGGGGAGCAAACAGG